rnacentral:rRNA from 1 species
GACGAACGCUGGCGGCGUGCCUAAUACAUGCAAGUUGAGCGCUGAAGGUUGGUACUUGUACCAACUGGAUGAGCAGCGAACGGGUGAGUAACGCGUGGGGAAUCUGCCUUUGAGCGGGGGACAACAUUUGGAAACGAAUGCUAAUACCGCAUAAAAACUUUAAACACAAGUUUUAAGUUUGAAAGAUGCAAUUGCAUCACUCAAAGAUGAUCCCGCGUUGUAUUAGCUAGUUGGUGAGGUAAAGGCUCACCAAGGCGAUGAUACAUAGCCGACCUGAGAGGGUGGUCGGCCACAUUGGGACUGAGACACGGCCCAAACUCCUACGGGAGGCAGCAGUAGGGAAUCUUCGGCAAUGGACGAAAGUCUGACCGAGCAACGCCGCGUGAGUGAAGAAGGGUUUCGGAUCGUAAAACUCUGUUGGUAGAGAAGAACGUUGAUGAGAGUGGAAAGCUCAUCAAGUGACGGUAACUACACAGAAAGGGACGGCUAACUACGUG